rnacentral:tRNA from 1 species
GGCCAGAUGGCGAAGUGGAAACGCCGUGGUCUGCAAAACCACUAUGCGCGGGUUCGAUUCCCGCUCUGGCCU